rnacentral:rRNA from 1 species
UACGAAGGGGGCUAGCGUUGUUCGGAAUUACUGGGCGUAAAGGGCGCGUAGGCGGUGUGUCAAGUCAGGCGUGAAAGCCCCGGGCUCAACCUGGGAACAGCGCUUGAGACUGGCACGCUCGAGUUCGGGAGAGGAUGGUGGAAUUCCCAGUGUAGAGGUGAAAUUCGUAGAUAUUGGGAAGAACACCGAUGGCGAAGGCAGCCAUCUGGACCGACACUGACGCUGAGGCGCGAAAGCCAGGGGAGCGAACGGG